rnacentral:rRNA from 1 species
GACGAACGCUGGCGGCGUGCUUAACACAUGCAAGUCGAACGGAAAGGCCCUGCUUUUGUGGGGUGCUCGAGUGGCGAACGGGUGAGUAACACGUGAGUAACCUGCCCUUGACUUUGGGAUAACUUCAGGAAACUGGGGCUAAUACCGGAUAGGAGCUCCUGCUGCAUGGUGGGGGUUGGAAAGUUUCGGCGGUUGGGGAUGGACUCGCGGCUUAUCAGCUUGUUGGUGGGGUAGUGGCUUACCAAGGCUUUGACGGGUAGCCGGCCUGAGAGGGUGACCGGCCACAUUGGGACUGAGAUACGGCCCAGACUCCUACGGGAGGCAGCAGUGGGGAAUAUUGCACAAUGGGCGGAAGCCUGAUGCAGCAACGCCGCGUGCGGGAUGACGGCCUUCGGGUUGUAAACCGCUUUCGCCUGUGACGAAGCGUGAGUGACGGUAAUGGGUAAAGAAGCACCGGCUAACUACGUGCCAGCAGCCGCGGUGAUACGUAGGGUGCGAGCGUUGUCCGGAUUUAUUGGGCGUAAAGGGCUCGUAGGUGGUUGAUCGCGUCGGAAGUGUAAUCUUGGGGCUUAACCCUGAGCGUGCUUUCGAUACGGGUUGACUUGAGGAAGGUAGGGGAGAAUGGAAUUCCUGGUGGAGCGGUGGAAUGCGCAGAUAUCAGGAGGAACACCAGUGGCGAAGGCGGUUCUCUGGGCCUUUCCUGACGCUGAGGAGCGAAAGCGUGGGGAGCGAACAGGCUUAGAUACCCUGGUAGUCCACGCUGUAAACGGUGGGUACUAGGUGUGGGGUCCAUUCCACGGGUUCCGUGCCGUAGCUAACGCUUUAAGUACCCCGCCUGGGGAGUACGGCCGCAAGGCUAAAACUCAAAGGAAUUGACGGGACCCCGCACAAGCGGCGGAGCAUGCGGAUUAAUUCGAUGCAACGCGUAGAACCUUACCUGGGUUUGACAUGGAUCGGGAGCGCUCAGAGAUGGGUGUGCCUCUUUUGGGGUCGGUUCACAGGUGGUGCAUGGCUGUCGUCAGCUCGUGUCGUGAGAUGUUGGGUUAAGUCCCGCAACGAGCGCAACCCUUGUUCACUGUUGCCAGCACGUUAUGGUGGGGACUCAGUGGAGACCGCCGGGGUCAACUCGGAGGAAGGUGGGGAUGACGUCAAGUCAUCAUGCCCCUUAUGUCCAGGGCUUCACGCAUGCUACAAUGGCUGGUACAGAGAGUGGCGAGCCUGUGAGGGUGAGCGAAUCUCGGAAAGCCGGUCUCAGUUCGGAUUGGGGUCUGCAACUCGACCUCAUGAAGUCGGAGUCGCUAGUAAUCGCAGAUCAGCAACGCUGCGGUGAAUACGUUCCCGGG